GGGGACGUUUUGGAUUUGACGGGGUGAUCGUUUGUAUCAAACUGCGGGUCCGAGCGCUGUUCUCGGUUAUCAACGAGCAAAUUAAAUUAAACGCUAACAACGUUAUCGAAGGCAAUUUUGCACCUAGAGCUUACGCUUUAGCUGCUUAGUCCGACAGACUGGACUAUGCCCACUCUGUACGGCCAGCUUGCCGCUGUGCAGGGUCAAUUAUGCAAGACGCAGUGCAACGAUGAGAAUUAAUUGCAUCAAGACUUUUCUCAAAGCGCGUAUCGCUUAAAACUGCUUUGUUUUAGCUCAGGUUAUGGACGCUUUCCUUGCUAAAAUGAGAUAAAAUGCACCUACGCUCGUAGAUGUUUGCUGCAUUCCAUUUCGGACAGGGGUUCGAUUCCCCUCGUCUCCACCA
rnacentral:tmRNA from 2 species